UAGGGAAUAUUGGACAAUGGGCGCAAGCCUGAUCCAGCCAUGCCGCGUGAGUGAAGAAGGCCCUCGGGUUGUAAAGCUCUUUUGUCCGGAAAGAAAAGCGCCGGGUUAAUACCCUGGUGUCCUGACGGUACCGGAAGAAUAAGCACCGGCUAACUUCGUGCCAGCAGCCGCGGUAAUACGAAGGGUGCAAGCGUUACUCGGAAUUACUGGGCGUAAAGCGUGCGUAGGUGGUUCGUUAAGUCCGAUGUGAAAGCCCUGGGCUCAACCUGGGAAUGGCAUUGGAUACUGGCGGGCUAGAGUGCGGUAGAGGGUAGUGGAAUUCCCGGUGUAGCAGUGAAAUGCGUAGAGAUCGGGAGGAACAUCCGUGGCGAAGGCGACUACCUGGACCAGCACUGACACUGAGGCACGAAAGCGUGGGGAGCAAACAGG
rnacentral:rRNA from 1 species